rnacentral:misc_RNA from 1 species
GUGAACUUAAGGUCAAGACAGCUGGGAUUUGCAUGGCUAAAUUAUAACAUUGUCUCAUACCCACCAACUUGCAAUCAAACAGAAUUAAACCAGACCAAGUCAUUGACCAUCCCACCUACAAUUGUAUAUAUAUUCUUAUUAUUUACUAAAAAGCCUUGCAAAAUACCAGCCCUAGCACCACCAACAUAGCCUAACCCAUGGCAUACUUCUGAGUCCAGGAACGGGCAGUUGACUCAUACUUGGACCUAUCCGUCUUGUACAUAUGAGCAAUCUCAGGCACCAGCGGAUCAUCAGGGUUCGGGUCAGUCAGAAGAGAACAAAUUGAUAGCAGCACCUUAGAUAUGGUCAGAGCAGGACUCCACUGUUCCUUGAGGAUGUCAAGGCAGAUGCUUCCAUUGCUGUUGAUAUUGGGAUGAAAAACUUUGGUGCGGAAGGACACCUUCGGGGGCUUAAAUGGAUAAUCUGGGGGAAAGUGAAUAGUCACUAGAAACACGCCACCAGCAAAAGGGCUAUCUGCAGGCCCCAUAAUGGUUGCCUGCCAAUGAAACAUAUCCUCCGCAACAGGGCCUGCGCUGCAUGAGGUAGGGGGGUCCUUCUGCAAGUCCUUCAACUCCUUCAAGAUCCUCUUCGACGCCAUCGAUUCCGGAUUGGUGAG